rnacentral:rRNA from 1 species
UAGGGAAUCUUCGGCAAUGGACGGAAGUCUGACCGAGCAACGCCGCGUGAGUGAAGAAGGUUUUCGGAUCGUAAAGCUCUGUUGUAAGAGAAGAACGAGUGUGAGAGUGGAAAGUUCACACUGUGACGGUAUCUUACCAGAAAGGGACGGCUAACUACGUGCCAGCAGCCGCGGUAAUACGUAGGUCCCGAGCGUUGUCCGGAUUUAUUGGGCGUAAAGCGAGCGCAGGCGGUUAGAUAAGUCUGAAGUUAAAGGCUGUGGCUUAACCAUAGUACGCUUUGGAAACUGUUUAACUUGAGUGCAAGAGGGGAGAGUGGAAUUCCAUGUGUAGCGGUGAAAUGCGUAGAUAUAUGGAGGAACACCGGUGGCGAAAGCGGCUCUCUGGCUUGUAACUGACGCUGAGGCUCGAAAGCGUGGGGAGCAAACAGGAUUAGAUACCCUGGUAGUCCACGCCGUAACGAUGAGUGCUAGGUGUUAGACCCUUUCCGGGGUUUAGUGCCGCAGCUAACGCAUUAAGCACUCCGCCUGGGGAGUACGACCGCAAGGUC